CAAUAGCGUAUAUUAAAGUUGUUGCGGUUAAAAAGCUCGUAGUUGGAUCUCGGCAGGCAGGGGGUGGUUCGCUCUUAGCGCUACUGCCCCAUUUGCCUGUGUGAUUGGCGGAGGUUUCGGGGUGCUCUUCGUUGAGUGACCCGGGGCGCCGUCAGGUUUACUUUGAAAAAAUUAGAGUGCUCAAAGCAGGCUUUUCACGCUUGAAUAUUCGUGCAUGGAAUAAUGGAAUAGGAACUCGUUUCUAUUUUGUUGGUUUUCGGAAAUCGAGUUAAUGAUUAAUAGGGACAAUUGGGGGCAUUAGUAUUCAGACGACAGAGGUGAAAUUCUUGGACCGUCUGAAGACUAACCACUGCGAAAGCAUUUGCCAAGAGUGUUUUCAUUAA
rnacentral:rRNA from 1 species